rnacentral:rRNA from 1 species
UACGGAGGGUGCAAGCGUUAAUCGGAAUUACUGGGCGUAAAGCGCGCGUAGGCGGCCUGUUAAGUCAAAUGUGAAAUCCCCGGGCUCAACUUGGGAAUUGCAUUCGAUACUGGUUGACUAGAGUGUGGUAGAGGAUGGUAGAAUUCCAGGUGUAGCGGUGAAAUGCGUAGAGAUCUGGAGGAAUACCGAUGGCGAAGGCAGCCAUCUGGACAAAGACUGACGCUGAGGUGCGAAAGCGUGGGGAGCAAACAGG